rnacentral:rRNA from 1 species
ACCCGCUGAACUUAAGCAUAUCAAUAAGCGGAGGAAAAGAAACCGGCAGGGAUUGCCCUAGUAACGGCGAGUGAAGCGGCAACAGCUCAAAUUUGAAAUCUGGCCUAGUGGUCCGAAUUGUAAUUUGUAGAGGAUGCUUUGGGCGCGGCUGCCUUCCGAGUUCCUUGGAACAGGACGCCUUAGAGGGUGAGAGCCCCGUACGGUUGGACACCAAGCCUAUGUAAAGCUCCUUCGACGAGUCGAGUAGUUUGGGAAUGCUGCUCUAAAUGGGAGGUAAAUUUCUUCUAAAGCUAAAUACCGGCCAGAGACCGAUAGCGCACAAGUAGAGUGAUCGAAAGAUGAAAAGUACUUUGAAAAGAGGGUUAAAUAGCACGUGAAAUUGUUGAAAGGGAAGCAUUUAUGACCAGACCUUUGCUAGGUGGAUCAUCCGGUGUUCUUCACCGGUGCACUUCGCCUAGCUUAGGCCAGCAUCGAUUUCUGUAGGGGGAUAAAGGUCUAGGGAACGUAGCUCUCUUCGGAGAGUGUUAUAGCCCUGGGCGUAAUACCCUUACGGGGAUCGAGGUUCGCGCUUCGGCAAGGAUGCUGGCAUAAUGGUCAUCAAUGACCCGUCUUGAAACACGGACC